CCUACGGGGGGCAGCAGUGAGGAAUAUUGGUCAAUGGGCGCGAGCCUGAACCAGCCAAGUCGCGUGAGGGAAGACGGUCCUAUGGAUUGUAAACCUCUUUUGUCGGGGAGCAAAAGACGCCACGCGUGGCGUUCCGAGAGUACCCGAAGAAAAAGCAUCGGCUAACUCCGUGCCAGCAGCCGCGGUAAUACGGAGGAUGCGAGCGUUAUCCGGAUUUAUUGGGUUUAAGGGGUGGGCAGGAGGAAGUUCAAGUCAGCGGUAAAAUUGGGGGGCUCAACCUCUACGAGCCGUUGAAACUGGUAUUCUUGAGUGAGUGAGAGGUAUGCGGAAUGCGUGGUGUAGCGGUGAAAUGCAUAGAUAUCACGCAGAACUCCGAUUGCGAAGGCAGCAUACUGGCGCUCAACUGACGCUGAUGCACGAAAGUGUGGGUAUCGAACAGGAUUAGAUACCCCAGUAGUC
rnacentral:rRNA from 1 species